CUGGACCCCAAAGAGCCACUUCCUGUCUGGCUCUCCUUGGGCUAACAACCAAGCAGAACUUCUCCAGGGAACUGGGGCAGCUAAGGCUUUGCAAGAGGCAUGUCAAGGAAGGAGACCCUGAGAGUUUGGAAAAGGGGUUUCUGCAGAACCAGCAUCAAUAGAACCCUCUACAUGGUCUGCCCAGUUCCAGGACCAAGACGCCAAACCUGAAACUGAACGUUUUGCUGAGCCACACAACUAGGGUUUUUAUGUUCAUAGAAAGAGAUCCGUGUGAGUGAGAGGCCAGCAAAACCCCGUCUUCAGAAACUAGAAUCACAGGCUGAAUGACAAGACUGUGGCCUCAGGGAUCACACAGACCCUGACCCCCAUCUCUGACCCAGGAGGAUCCCCACUGCUAUAAGAGAGAAGGACCUGGGUCACAGUGACCAUUGUAACUGAGCCAGUUUUGCAGAUGGGAGAAGUGGGUACGUGGGGAGAUGCCUGGGAUCUGCCGCCCCUUCCUGGUGCCCCGACCAGUGGCCACGCUCCCAUGCUUGACCCCACACACACCAUAUGCCACCGGCUGUUACUGAGAACCAUCCGCUGGCUUGAGCCCUCAACCCUCCUGCCGUUCACUCUUCUCUGCUAGUGGUCAUCAGCAAUGGACACAUUCAAGGUACAUGUGCAGAGUGUGGCCUGAAAGGCUUCAGCUGUGGACUCAGUGGCCACCUCCUGCUGCUCUCUCACCUCCCUCUCCCUCUCAUCAGCCUCAGCAGAGAACAAGCCCCUGAGCCACGCACCCAACCUUCCAUGUCUCAUCACAUUGGACAGGGGAAUUGAGGCAGCCUCUGAUGGGGGCCACCCAUCUGCCACAAUGCCCACCCAAGGCCUCCUGGCACCCAGCCCUUCGCCAAUCACUGCAGGAUGUGUUCUGACUCACCCUGGGCAGUUGGAAAUGCGCCUCAACCAACAACACACUUCAGAGACCUUCCCACCUGCAUCUGGGUGAUGCGUCUCCACUGCACGGUUGAACAGGAGAUACCAGCUCUGCUGAAAAUGAGGGGUUAUAUUUGGGGGACCCCAGUUCCCGUAAAGAUGCUUUUCUUCAGUGGAGAGAGGACAGGGAAAACAAAAGCAAGACAACGAAUUGACUUGUAUUAUGUAUUUUUACUACACUUUUCUUAAAAAUUGAGCAAUGAGAGAACUCUGGAAGAGACUGACAUUUUUCUCAACAGGAAUCAUGCUUCAUCAUCCUGGCUUUCAUUCCAUUUUGCUCUUUGGCCCCCAGGUCUUUUUUUCUUUCACAUCUUCUGUUCUAACUUUCUUGACACGUGUGGAAGGAGUUUUGCUUGAUCAAACACUAAAUAUAUUUUCAGUUCCUGUUUCUCUUUCAGAUAGCCAGGUGUUUAUUUUUCUUUCCUUUUGGUAUUUGCAUAAAAUGAAAAUGUCACCGAGAAUUAAAUCACUGUGGAUCCAUUA